AGUCCCCCCUGACUUGGUUGGCUACGAGCCGGGAGUCCGUGUGGAAGUGUACCUUGGACGCGCCUAGUGCGCGAGUUAGCCGGAUCCCCGAAAGGAGGGCUUCGUAUUCCGCUGCAUUGUUAGUCGCCCGGAAUUCGAAGUGGAUCGAGUACUCGAUUUUUUCCCCUGUCGGGGACGUGACCACGACCCCCGCGCCGCAUCCGCUAUUGCUGGACGACCCGUCCACGUGGGCCGUCCACCACUGCUCGUCUGCCUCCACCACUCCUCUCGGGGCUAACUCGGCCAUGAAGUCUGCCACCGCCUGCCCCUUGAUUGCCCUUGCUGGCACGAUGACUAGGUGAAACUCGCUGAGUUCCAUGGCCCACUUGGUUAGUCUUCCUGAGACGUCCGGCUUCUG
rnacentral:lncRNA from 1 species